GGUCAGGCUGAAGACCUUACCCGAUUAGCUGAGAGGUGGUGCAUGGCCGUCGUCAGUUCGUACUGUGAAGCAUCCUGUUAAGUCAGGCAACGAGCGAGACCCACGUCCACAGUUGCCAGCAUACCCUCCGGGGUGAUGGGUACACUGUGGAGACCGCCGCUGCUAAAGCGGAGGAAGGAGUGGGCAACGGUAGGUCAGUAUGCCCCGAAUCUCCCGGGCUACACGCGGGCUACAAUGGUUGGUACAAUGGGCAUCUACCCCGAAAGGGGAAGGAAAUCUCUUAAAGCCAAUCGUAGUUCGGAUUGAGGGCUGCAACUCGCCCUCAUGAAGCUGGAAUCCGUAGUAAUCGCGUUUCAACAGAACGCGGUGAAUACGUCCCUGCUCCUU
rnacentral:rRNA from 1 species